GCAUUGUUGUAGUAGUGGUUAACUGGUCUGCUUCCCAAACAUGUUUCUGCUCUAACCGAUUUUGGCUGGAGUGGUUAUGGGAUACAAAAAGCAGGAGACGUGGGUUCAAAUCCCACACAAUGCA